UACGUAGGGUGCAAGCGUUGUCCGGAAUUAUUGGGCGUAAAGAGCUCGUAGGCGGUUUGUCGCGUCUGCUGUGAAAUCUCCGGGCUUAACUCGGAAAGGUCAACUGAUACUGCGCGGCUAGAGUGCAGAAGGGGCAACUGGAAUUCUCGGUGUAGCGGUGAAAUGCGUAGAUAUCGAGAGGAACACCUGCGGCGAAGGCGGGUUGCUGGGCUGACACUGACGCUGAUGCGCGAAAGCCAGGGGAGCGAACGGG
rnacentral:rRNA from 1 species